AGCGAACGCUGGCGGCAGGCCUAACACAUGCAAGUCGAACGAACUCUUCGGAGUUAGUGGCGGACGGGUGAGUAACACGUGGGAACGUGCCUUUUGGUUCGGAAUAACUCAGGGAAACUUGUGCUAAUAACGAAUGUGCCCUUCGGGGGAAAGAUUUAUCGCCAUUAGAGCGGCCCGCGUCUGAUUAGCUAGUUGGUGAGGUAACGGCUGACCAAGGCGACGAUCAGUAGCUGGUCUGAGAGGAUGACCAGCCACACUGGGACUGGGACACGGCCCAGACUCCUGCGGGAGGCAGCAGUGGGUAAUCUUGCGCAAUGGGCGAAAGCCUGACGCAGCCAUGCCGCGUGAAUGAUGAAGGUCUUAGGAUUGUAAAAUUCUUUCACCGGGGACGAUAAUGACGGUACCCGGAGAAGAAGCCCCGGCUAACUUCGU
rnacentral:rRNA from 1 species